rnacentral:lncRNA from 1 species
AUUAUCAGUGUCCCUCCCCCAACAGAAAGCAUGGGUGGGGGUGGGGGCGCUGCUGGAUUCCUGCUCUGGUGGAGGGGAAACUUGUGAGGGGCUGGUAAGCGCCCCCUCCGAAGCCUGGUGUGUGCGCGGGGGGAAGGAAGUUAGUUUCCUCUCCACCCAUGGGCACCCCUUCUGCCCGGGGCCUGGGAAGUGGGCUGCUCUGUGGGCAAAUGCUGGGGCCUCUGAAAUGGAGGAGACGCAGCAGGGAGAGGCCCCACGUGGGCAGCUGCGCUGAGAGUCAGCAGCACCUGUCCCCCAGGCGCUCCUCCUGGUGCUGCUGGGGGCCCGGGCCCAGGGCGGCACUCGUAGCCCCAGGUGUGACUGUGCCGGUGACUUCCACAAGAAGAUUGGUCUGUUUUGUUGCAGAGGCUGCCCAGCGGGGCACUACCUGAAGGCCCCUUGCACGGAGCCCUGCGGCAACUCCACCUGCCUUGUGUGUCCCCAAGACACCUUCUUGGCCUGGGAGAACCACCAUAAUUCUGAAUGUGCCCGCUGCCAGGCCUGUGAUGAGCAGGGUGAGGGGCUUCUCAGUGCUUGGCAGGGAGUUCCUAAGGACAGGCCUUUCUGAAGGAAGUGGCUGGCUCGGGCCCAAACUUGGGGUGUGAGGGUCCUGCACCCACCCUUGCCAGAACCCUCCACCCUGAUCCUCCUUCAGGGUGCCCUUGCCCCUUCUCUCUUCCUGGUGACCUUCCCAUCUCUCCAUGUGCCUUGGCCUCUGGUCGGCCUUAAUCUCUGAGCUUCUCUCUUUUUUAGGGUAGCCCUGUACCUGUCUGUCUUUCGCCUAUUUCUGUCUCCAUUAUCUUGGGAUAAUGCCUCUGCCUCUCCAUGGGAGCCUUUGGCCCUGACUAACUCUCCACUCCCCAUCUCCCUGCACCCCCACCAGCCUCCCAGGUGGCGCUGGAGAACUGUUCAGCAGUGGCCGACACCCGCUGUGGCUGUAAGCCAGGCUGGUUUGUGGAGUGCCAGGUCAGCCAAUGUGUCAGCAGUUCACCCUUCUACUGCCAACCAUGCCUAGACUGCGGGGCCCUGCACCGCC